GGCCUUGAAGUGUUUACCAUGUCAGACUGCAAAUCUGAAGAAUGCAGAUUAACCGUCUGCCGGGGCUU
rnacentral:tRNA from 1 species